rnacentral:rRNA from 1 species
GGCGGCGUGCUUAACACAUGCAAGUCGAACGGAAAGGCUCUUUGCUUGCAAGGGGUACUCGAGUGGCGAACGGGUGAGUAACACGUGGGUGAUCUGCCUUGCACUUCGGGAUAAGCCUGGGAAACUGGGUCUAAUACCGGAUAGGACCAUGCUUUAGUGUGUGUGGUGGAAAGUUUUUUCGGUGCAAGAUGAGCCCGCGGCCUAUCAGCUUGUUGGUGGGGUAAUGGCCUACCAAGGCGACGACGGGUAGCCGGCCUGAGAGGGUGUACGGCCACAUUGGGACUGAGACACGGCCCAGACUCCUACGGGAGGCAGCAGUGGGGAAUAUUGCACAAUGGGCGCAAGCCUGAUGCAGCGACGCCGCGUGGGGGAUGACGGCCUUCGGGUUGUAAACUCCUUUCGCUAGGGAAGAAGCCACUGUGUGGUGACGGUACCUGGA